rnacentral:rRNA from 1 species
GAAACUGCGAAUGGCUCAUUAAAACAGUUAUAGUUUAUUUGAUAGUGUCAUUACAUGGAUAACCGUGGUAAUUCUAGAGCUAAUACAUGCGCAAAUGCCCAACUCACGAAGGGCAGCAUUUAUUAGAUUUAACCAUCACUAGGUGAAUCAUAGUAACUUAUCUAAUCGCGCGAAUGCGUGAUAAAUCAUUCAAGUUUCUGCCCUAUCAGCUUUCGAUGGUAGUGUAUUGGACUACCAUGGCAGUCACGGGUAACGGAGAAUUAGGGUUCGAUUCCGGAGAGGGAGCCUGAGAAACGGCUACCACAUCUAAGGAAGGCAGCAGGCGCGUAAAUUACCCAAUCCCGAUUCGGGGAGGUAGUGACAAGAAAUAACGACUCGGGUGGUUUUCCACUUCGGGAUUGCAAUGAGAUAAAUCUAAAAACCUAAACGAUUAACAAUUGGAGGGCAAGUCUGGUGCCAGCAGCCGCGGUAAUUCCAGCUCCAAUAGCGUAUACUUAAGUUGUUGCAGUUAAAAAGCUCGUAGUUGAAAUUCGAAUUCGUCACUGAGCGGCUUGCCGCGCUGUUGGCGGGUUCUCCGUCUAUAAUCUUUUUGCCUUCGCAAGUUGGUAAGAUGCUGAGUAGACAAUUUACCUUGAAAAAAUUAGAGUGUUUCAGGCAGGUUUUCGCCGGAAUACAUUAGCAUGGAAUAAUGGAAUAGGACUGUGGUCUGUUGUUGGUUUUUGGACCAUUGUAAUGAUUAAUAGGGACAGAUGGGGGCAUUAGUAUUUAAUUGUCAGAGGUGAAAUUCUUGGAUUUAUUAAAGACUAACUUAUGCGAAAGCAUCUGCCAAGGAUGUUUUCAUUAAUCAAGAACGAAAGUUAGGGGAUCAAAGACGAUCAGAUACCGUCGUAGUCUUAACUAUAAACUAUACCGACUCGGGAUCGGAUGGGUAUAAAAUUAGGCCCAUUCGGCACCGUAAGAGAAAUCAAAGUCUUUGGGUUCUGGGGGGAGUAUGGUCGCAAGGCUGAAACUUAAAGGAAUUGACGGAAGGGCACCACCAGGAGUGGAGCCUGCGGCUUAAUUUGACUCAACACGGGGAAACUUACCAGGUCAAAACAUGGAUGGGAUUGACAGAUUGAAAGCUCUUUCUUGAUUCUAUGGGUGGUGGUGCAUGGCCGUUCUUAGUUGGUGGAGUGAUUUGUCUGGUUAAUUCCGAUAACGAACGAGACCUUAACCUGCUAACUAGUUCAUUCUUGAAUAAAGGUGUAACUUCUUAGAGGGACUAUGUACGUCAAGUACAUGGAAGUUUAAGGCAAUAACAGGUCUGUGAUGCCCCUAGACGUCCUGGGCCGCACGCGCGCUACACUGAUACGUUCAGCGAGUUCAUUAACCUGACCCGACAGGGUUCGGGAAAUCUUGUUAGGACGUAUCGUGCUGGGGAUAGAUCUUUGCAAUUAUAGAUCUUGAACGAGGAAUUCCUUGUAAGCACAGGUCAUCAGCCUGUGCUGAAUACGUCCCUGCCCUUUGUACACACCGCCCGUCGCUCCUACCGAUUUCGAGUGAUGUGGUGAACUAUCUGGACUGUGAGAGGGCUUGAACCUUUUGCAGGAAGUUUCGUAAACCUUAUCACUUAGAGGAAGGAGAAGUCGUAACAAGGUUUCCGUAGGUGAACCUGCGGAAGGAUCA